rnacentral:lncRNA from 1 species
UCCUUGGAUAAAGCUUGUCUGUAAUCUUCACACGCAACAUCAGCUUUCCAAAUACCACAGACCACUUUUUCAAAGUGCUCUGACAGAGUUAAAACAUGUGAAGCUGACAGCUCCCACUACCGUGUUAUGACCAAGCAGGGUAAAGGAAUAACAUUACUACUUGUUGUUAGGGAGACUCCUAUAUAUGUCGACCUCCAUCCCCAACGGACAGGCAGACCUGCAAAAAUGCUCAACCCUUCCUCAUAUCUGAGAGGGUACUCCCAACGAAGCCUUUCGAAAUAUUCAGCUUUCUUU